GACGAACGCUGGCGGCGUGCCUAAUACAUGCAAGUAGAACGCUGAAGAGAGGAGCUUGCUCUUCUUGGGUGAGUUGCGAACGGGUGAGUAACGCGUAGGUAACCUGCCUGGUAGCGGGGGAUAACUAUUGGAAACGAUAGCUAAUACCGCAUAAAAUGGAUUAUCGCAUGAUAAUCCAUUGAAAGGUGCAAAUGCAUCACUACCAGAUGGACCUGCGUUGUAUUAGCUAGUUGGUGGGGUAACGGCUCACCAAGGCGACGAUACAUAGCCGACCUGAGAGGGUGAUCGGCCACACUGGGACUGAGACACGGCCCAGACUCCUACGGGAGGCAGCAGUAGGGAAUCUUCGGCAAUGGACGGAAGUCUGACCGAGCAACGCCGCGGGAGUGAAGAAGGUUGUCGGAUCGUAAAGCUCUGUUGUAAGAGAAGAACGAGUGUGAGAGUGGAAAGUUCACACUGUGACGGUAGCUUACCAGAAAGGGACGGCUAACUACGUG
rnacentral:rRNA from 1 species